UUUAUAACAAUGGCUUUAGUGGCGGACUGGUGAGUAACACGUAAGCAACCUGCCUAUCAGAGGGGAACAACAGUUAGAAAUGACUGCUAAUACCGCAUAUGCCUUGAAUAUCACAUGAUAUAAGAGGGAAAGGAGCAAUCCGCUGAUAGAUGGGCUUGCGUCUGAUUAGAUAGUUGGUGGGGUAACGGCCUACCAAGUCGACGAUCAGUAGCCGGACUGAGAGGUUGAACGGCCACAUUGGGACUGAGAUACGGCCCAGACUCCUACGGGAGGCAGCAGUCGGGAAUAUUGCGCAAUGGAGGAAACUCUGACGCAGUGACGCCGCGUGCAGGAAGAAGGUUUUCGGAUUGUAAACUGCUUUAGACAGGGAAGAAAAAGACAGUACCUGUAGAAUAAGCUCCGGCUAACUACGUGCC
rnacentral:rRNA from 1 species